CCUACGGGGGGCAGCAGUGAGGAAUAUUGGUCAAUGGACGAGAGUCUGAACCAGCCAAGUAGCGUGAAGGAUGACUGCCCUAUGGGUUGUAAACUUCUUUUAUAUGGGAAUAAAAUGUUCCACGUGUGGGAUUUUGUAUGUACCAUAUGAAUAAGGAUCGGCUAACUCCGUGCCAGCAGCCGCGGUAAUACGGAGGAUCCGAGCGUUAUCCGGAUUUAUUGGGUUUAAAGGGAGCGUAGGUGGUUUGUUAAGUCAGUUGUUAAAGUUUGCGGCUCAACCGUAAAAUUGCAGUUGAAACUGGCAGUCUUGAGUACAGUAGAGGUGGGCGGACUUCGUGGUGUAGCGGUGCAAUUCUUAGAUCUCCCGAAGAACUCCGUUUGCGAAGGCAGCUCACUGGACUGCACCUGACACUGAGGCUCGAAAGUGUGGGUAUCAAACAGGAUUAGAUACCCCAGUAGUC
rnacentral:rRNA from 1 species